rnacentral:rRNA from 1 species
ACCGCAAAGGGCUCAGUAAACCAGUUUUAAUUUACUAGAGUUUUUACGUUACGUACGUGGAUACCUGUGGUAAUUCUAGAGCUAAUACAUGCAAUAAAGUCCGAACCAGUAAUGGAAAGGACGCUUUUAUUAGAUCAAAACCAUUCGCCCAACUUGUUGGGCGUUGUUUUGAUGAAUCUAGAUAACACAUUUGAUCGUACAGUCUUUGUACUGACGACGUCUCUUUCAAACGCCUGACUUAUCAGCUGUCGAUGGUAGACUCUGUGUCUACCAUGGCACUCACGGGUAACGGGGAAUCAGGGUUCGAUUCCGGAGAGGGAGCCUGAGAAACGGCUACCACAUCCAAGGAAGGCAGCAGGCACGCAAAUUACCCACUCCCGGCACGGGGAGGUAGUGACAAAAAAUAACGAUACGGGACUCUAUUGAGGCCCCGUAAUCGGAAUGAGUACACUUUAAAUCCUUUAACAAGGAUCCAUUGGAGGGCAAGUCUGGUGCCAGCAGCCGCGGUAAUUCCAGCUCCAAUAGCGUAUAUUAAAGUUGUUGCGGUUAAAAAGCUCGUAGUUGGUUCUGCGUGCCGCGCUGUCGGUUCGCCGCCUGUCGGUGUAACUGGCAUGUCGCGGCAUGUCCUGUCGGUGGUGAACGAGACCCCAGGUUCGUGGCAGAGGCCUUGUGCCUUUGCUAUGUUCUGUAGGUGGUGUCGUUUGCCGAUCUCUCCUACUCCGGUGCUCUUAAACGAGUGUCGAGGUAGGCCGACACGGUCACUUUGAACAAAUUAGAGUGCUUAAAGCAGGCUGAAAUAUCUGCCUGAAUAGUAGUGCAUGGAAUGAUAAAAUAGGACCUCGGUUCUAUUUUGUUGGUUUUAGGAAUAUGAGGUAAUGAUCAAUAUGGACUGGCGGG